CCAUAAAUCAGCGUUUGUAAUACUUCAUUGCAUUUCUUUAUCUCUUGAUCAAAGUGUAACAACCUUGAGACCAGGACCAUGGUGUAUAUAUAUUGCCUGGUUCAUAGGAAGCCCUUAAUAAAUGCUUAUUGAAUGGAUAAAAUUACCUUUAUGUCACAUUUUGGGGGUUAUAGUUACAGUGUGAAGCCUGAGAAUCUAAUUCAGUUCAUAAAAUAGUAUUAUUAGGUAUAUUUAUAAUUGCUUAUUCUAUGGAUUUAUCAACCUUUACCGUAAGAGUCAAGUCAUCCUUCUGACCACAGUAGAAACCCUAAUGUAAACUGAAUAUUUGCAGUGGGUUCUCAUUGGUUUCAGUUGGGCAACUUGAAAUCACCUCAAAGACAAAAUCUAAAAUAAUUAUUUAUUUCUCCCCAACUUCCCCACAAGAGAAAAAGGGGGGAGGGGGAGGAGAGGAGAGAAAAGAAAAAAUAAUAACCAGCUUUCCCUCUUAACUCUAAAUUAUCUCAAAUAAUCCUUGAUUCAUAGAAUCAGACUUUCAGAAAGUAAAGAAUCUCAGAGAUCAUCUAGGACAAGGCCUGAACUUUAUAGGUGAGGACUCUAAGGCAGAAGGAGGCUGUAAGGCUUGUCUAAGUCAGCCAUGUAGGAUAAGAAAUGGAAGUGGAACCCAGAUGCUUAAAUCUGGAACUCCCAGUGCACAAAGCUUAAUCUCUUAGUUCUCAGUCCUGGGAAAUGCAUCACCGUGCGCUUCUUAAAAAUACUUUUACGAAGUCUGGAAUGAGAUCCAAGUAUGUAAAUAUGAAAAAGUUUCAGUUUGGAAAUCAGUUACCAAGGCUUGAUUUCCUGCAGCAUCUGAGGCAUCCUACGUGCUUUCUGACCUCAUUUCCAUCUCCCUAGUCAAAGCCCUGUCACACCAAGCCUUGUUUCUAUGUUUCCAGUUGUCUCCGUCAUUUCAACACAGCUUUGCCAGAUAAAUUUUCUUUAACCAUUUCUCAAACCUUACAGCAUAGAAGAGUCAGCCAAGCUCUUGUUUAAAAGCCAAUUCCUGGGCCCACUGUUAGCAAUUCUUGUUUAGUAGGUCUGGGGCAAGGCCUGGUAAUCUGCGUAUUCAACAAAUAUUUAGCAAGCAAUGCAAGGGGGAUAAUUUUCAUACAGAUGGUCCAAAAAUGACACCAUAAGAAACAACAUCUCCAGUGAAAUAAAUGUUAAUCCUCUGAUUAGGCAUUCAAGGCCCUCUACCAUUAACCCAUCCUCCUGAGUCUUGUUUUUCACUUCUUUCCAACUUGCUGUGCUCCCAGUAAAUCAUGUUCCAACUUCAACCUCAAUUCUUCCUCUCUCCUUGGAAUUCUCCACUUCUUUACCAUCCUCAACACAUAUAUAUAAAUACUGUGUAUCCUUCAAGGCUCAGUUCAAAGUCACCUCCAUGGAAAUGGCCCAACUCUUCUCUCCUAUACUGAUUUCUCUUCACACGUCUAUAGUGAUGAGUAUAUUACAUAACUUACCAUUUGUAUACUGUCUUGUGAGACUUUUGAGUAAAGCCCAUCUUAAUUCUAUAAGCUCUUAAGUAGCAAAUCUGUGUCAUACUUUUAAGCAUUUAGCAUUAUAGGAACAGAAUAGCUGCUUAAAAUAUUUUUAAUUGGGAUGGAAAACUCGAUGAUUAAAUCUAAGUUAUGUUUAUUUGUAUUUUCAUUUUACAGUCAAAAAAAGUGAAAUAGAGUGUCUCAUAAGAAUUUUUCACAGCUUGGUGAAAAGAGCUGAUGUAAGACUUGAUAACACUGGACUGGAUCGUAAUGCAUUUCAAGCAAUCCUGCACAGCGUGUUUGGAAUGACUGAUGAUAUGCUAAUGAAUAGGGUAUUUUUUGCAUUUGACAAAGACAAUGAUAACUACAUAAAUGUGAAAGAGUGGGUUAAAGGAUUAUCGGUGUUUCUUCGAGGGACUUUUGAAGAAAAGCUAAAGUGAUUAUGACAACGAUGGCAAGAUAUCUUUUUCAGACUUUGAAAAAGCAGUGAAAGAAGACAGACUUUUGUUGGAAGUGUUUGGACCAUGUUUCCCAGAAGCAAAGGUACAGUGCCAGCAGCCUAAAUUGGUUGAGGGAAAAUUUUAAAGGAUCAGAAAAGAAAUACUUGCUACAUACUCACUUCUAUAGGGCUUCAACCCACUACUGAAGUGCAGGCAACCAUGAACUUCUCAGCCCCAUCCUAGCAUUUGGGACCCAAGAAAAUACUAUUUAAGUAAUUAUAUUCAUCACUUUUUUUGAGCUUAUAACCAUUUCAGCCAUACACAGUUCCUAAUUUCCUGUGUGUAAUGACAUUUUCUCAAAGAAAACCAAGGUAUAUUGGCUUGCUUAAGGGAUAGAACAGGAAAUAGAGUGGAUUCAGCAAAUACCCACCAUAAACUGCUAGGAGAACUUGAUCUCUUUCAACCCAGAUAUUGUCAAACAAGAAUAAAUUUUUAAAAUUUUGGACACAUGUAUAGUACUCUAUAGUACUUUAUUUGUCCUUGUGAACAUCUUUCACAUAUGAAUAUAAAUUUUUCUGAGUCAGGAGAGCCAGCCUGACAACUGAUUUGACUCAUUAUCAUUUCCUAUCUUAAUUCUUUUUUUGACCAACUGUGCUUUGCAAACAUGUGAUAUAGGAAGAAACUUUUUAUUCUCUGCAGUAACUUAGAUGGUGAAUUUGUGGGUGAAUUUGCAUAAUGUUAAGUUAUCCUUAGCCAUCUCAGCUUGGCUCUC